rnacentral:Y_RNA from 1 species
GGCUGGUCCAAAGGUAGUGAGUUACCUCACUUGAUUGUUCUUAAGUCAGUUACAGGUUGAACUCCUUGUUCUACUACCUUCCCCCCUUCUCACUACUGCACUUAACUAGUCCAAA